rnacentral:tRNA from 1 species
GCUGGAAUAGCUCAGUUGGUAGAGCAUAACCUUGCCAAGGUUGGGGUCGCGAGUUCGAGUCUCGUUUCCCGCUCCA